GACGAACGCUGGCGGCGUGCUUAACACAUGCAAGUCGAACGGUAAGGCCCUUCGGGGUACACGAGUGGCGAACGGGUGAGUAACACGUGGGUGAUCUGCCCUGCACUUCGGGAUAAGCCUGGGAAACUGGGUCUAAUACCGGAUAGGACUCCGGACUGCAUGGUCUGGGGUGGAAAGCUUUUGCGGUGUGGGAUGGGCCCGCGGCCUAUCAGCUUGUUGGUGGGGUGAUGGCCGACCAAGGCGACGACGGGUAGCCGGCCUGAGAGGGUGACCGGCCACACUGGGACUGAGAUACGGCCCAGACUCCUACGGGAGGCAGCAGUGGGGAAUAUUGCACAAUGGGCGCAAGCCCGAUGCAGCGACGCCGCGUGAGGGAUGACGGCCUUCGGGUUGUAAACCUCUUUCAGCACAGACGAAGCGCAAGUGACGGUAUGUGCAGAAGAAGGACCGGCCAACUACGUGCCAGCCGCCGCCGUAA
rnacentral:rRNA from 1 species